CUUUAAGUCAAUAAUAGCGUUUUUUUUUUUUUCUGAAAAGGCUCCUAGAUUUAGUAUCAUGAAAUUUUUAGAAAAGAAAGAGUGCUUGAGUUUCUCUGCCCACCGAAGAUCAUGAUCACCUUGAAGGCAAUUUGGCUUCCCCCUCUGGGCUCCAUCUUUUGUUGGGGAGACUGAAGGCUGCAGCAAGGCAGAGGCAUUUGUUGUGCUCUGGACACUCCUAUGAUACUGAUUGUCAGGAAUGCUAUUUAAUGGAAAACAUCGUUAAAGCAAGUUCUUAAAUUUGGAAAGGCCAAGUUCAUUCAUAUGCAGACCAUAGAAUUCACUUGCAAGUUGGAACAUCACCUUGACUGUACCAAGAGCUGACACUGUUUGCUUCCUGAACAAGUGCCACAAACCACUUCCAGGACAAGCUUCACAAAACACGUCCUCUGUUAAGGCUCUAGAGAAGCCAGGAUGCCCACUUGUUUGGUGCAUUAUGGAGGACAUUCCUGAACAAUUGUGGAUGAGAUUCCGCAGUCUUGGAGAUACCUUCCAGCCCUGAGAUUUUGGAUUCAGGGUCCAGGGAAUCAACAGGAAAUCAUGGAACAACAGUGAUUACUCCAGUCACCAACUAUAUUGAUGCUUCCUUAAUUUUCCAUCUCACAAAGCAAUCAGUAAGGUGGAAUUUUUGUCUGAUAAGGUAUUUUUACAUCAACUUAUUUCACAUUUCCCAUCAUUAGUAAAAAACAAAACAUUCUCCUGAUCAUUAUAAAUAA